UGUAUUUUUUAUUUAAUUUGUAGGACAAGUUCCUUCCUCAUUCAGAUGUGAGAUUUCUGAAGUUACAAGAAGAUAUUCCUCACUGUGAAUCUGAAAAUCAACAGACAUUGGGAGAAUUACUUGUGGGCUUUUUGAACUAUUACAGUAACAAAUUUGUCUUUAGUAAAGAGGCUAUAUCUGUACGCCUUGGUUGCACCUUACCGAAGCAUGUCGUAAUGAAAUACAAAUCUCCAAAGAACAAUCAAGGACAGUGGAAGUUUAUAUGUAUAGAAGAACCUUUUGACAAAACCAAUACAGCAAGAGCAGUAUAUAAUGAAGAAGCAUUCAAUAAAAUUUUGAUGGUGUUUAGAACUAGUCUUGAAGUACUUCAGGAAACAAAAGACCUGGCAAAACUUCUAGAUCACUGAAUUUUUUACCUGAUUAAUCCCAUGCUCAAGGAAAGGACUACUGUCUACUAAACAUUAAGAGGAAUGAAGGUUUCCAGCCACACUGCAUUCUACCAGAGAGUGCUAACUCACCAGCCAGUCUAUUCGACCAAGUGAACCUGUUGAAAUGAUGUUUUGUGGCUGGCUUUAUCUUACCCCUUGUAUUCGUUAUAUAUAUAUAUGUAUAUAUACAUAUAUAUAUACACACACACGACACACUGCCAUGCUGUACUUUUUAUUUUUCCUACUGGUGCGGUGUAUUUUCCUUGGUAGAAGGAUGUGCAUCUUCAUGUAUGAAAAACAUUAAAACACCUGUGAUAAAUGUAAGCCAUUAUAUAAAUGUAAUCAUGAAGUGUCAGUUGUGGGCCCACCAGAUGUAACUAACUAUGUUUAUGUCAGAAAUCUCUCCAACAACAAAAUAAAAUAGCAUUUCUAGAAAGCAUUGUUGCACCUUUGGCAUUACAUUUUCAUUAAACAACUUUAAGUGUGUGUUCGUUUCACAGUAAAAUAAUUUUAUAAAAACCAGUUAAAAAAUUCUGACAUUCAUGUGUGAUAUUUAACAAUACAGAAGUUUUUCCUGUAAGUCACAUAUAAAAACUAAACAUUCAGGUAUAUGAUGUUUUAUUUUAACUGUAUAUUUUAUGUUUUAUUGAUGUCUUAUAUAUAUAUAUAUAUAUAUAUUAAGGAAAUAAAGGGCUUGUUCAAGGAACCUUUGGGAAUAUGUUGAUCCAAAAACAAUUUUUUGAAUCUUUGCUUCUAAUAACCAAAUUAUUUCACCAUAACUGAAAAGGUAAGUUUUCAAUAGUUACAUAUAUUCAUUAGAAAAUUUUAUAAAUUGCAACAUAUUUAAAAAGCCCAUAAAUGAUAGAAAUUCUACAUUAGUGUUUUGUGGAAGCAACUAUGAAUGUAAUACAAUGCUUAUCCACAAAAUAGAUUUUUUCAGUCCUACAAAAAUAUUUUAUUCUUAGAUUUAAAACAAUGUGUUUGUGAAUGUAAAUUAUUAAAUUAAUUUAACCAGAAUUCACUCCACUUUUAAUAAAAUACUAUUAUAGGCGUGAACAUUAUGAAUUACAGUACUUGUAUUUCUGCAAAUUAAUUUCAUAGACGACAAAAUUAUAAAACUGAAUUUAUUAGUUGCAGAAAAUAUGAAUUCUGUAUGAAGAAAAUAGAAAUUAUUGGAGAAAAUGGCCUUCAAAGAUUUAAUAUACUGAAAAUGAACAAUACAUGUACAUGUAUUUUUGUACUAAAAUACCUUUUAAUUAUACCUUAAGGAUAAACUCCAUUAUUCCUGUUUUAGUAAGUGCUUGGAGGUAAAACACUUGACCAAUAUUAAUGGUUUCUUUAAAAGUGUUUUGUAUCCUGGUAUAUGUUUUGCCAUUUGAAACCCUCAGAAAAUAAUGGCUUUAUCAAACAGGCAGUAAAACUGCCGAUGUAGGGAUGGCUCAGAUUGUUCAUUGAAAUGAUAUUUUAAAUAUCUCCUUAAUAGGUCAACAAGAAUUUUACAAUACUACAUAGUGUUUCCUUUUAUAACACAAGUUUUUAUCACAAGUUCUGGGA